ACCGUACCAUUUCUUAGCCUUGACCUUAAUUGAACGUCUCGUCUGCCUGCUUCAUCUUUAACGUUAAUGCUCCCGUCCGUCGCGCAAGCCGGUUGAGACGCUGUCUGUUAAUAGUCAACAUGAGCAUGAGGAGGGGACAUAUCUGGCACUUUUGUGGUGCUGGAAAAAGAGAAGCAGAGGGAGGUCAGAAUGACAGUCAGCAGGCGGGAGGAGGUCAGGACAGUGCAGCAGGCAGGACCAAGUAGCAAAGAGGAUCUUUUCCAUAGGAGCCAUAUGUUUCUCACUUCUGAAUUACACACCGGAUGAAAUAUGACACACCCACAGGUUACAUACAGGCAAUAGGCUGAUUCAACUUUAUGUGGCGCUGCGCAGCCCUGACUUAACGUGAUGCAUGCUGGACUUAAAACAAUCGAUGUUGGUUGGAAAUUUUCCACGACUUUCACUGCAGAAUGUCACCAUGGCACAUGACAUUGAAACUCAUGGGAUCAAGACGGCUGCAGUUUUCUGAGUGCUCUCCUCUUGCUGAACCAACUGGGAACCGACUCUGUGACGACAGAACUUUGCCCUAAUUGGCUUAAGGCUUCACUGAGAAGCAUGACAUGACGUGUGGUGCAUUUGUACUCUAAGAAAUUCCGAUCUGUUAUCUUGCUUAUCAAAGGUGAUGAUGCAAUUUAUCUGAUCUCCUCCUUCUGGCAGCUCUUUUUUUUUACAUAUGGACGCCAUACAGUACAGUUUUCAUAUCAAGCAAGAAAGUUGUAAAAACAGAUUAGUUUGUAGGUUUGUUAUUGUAAAAGAAGUAAUGACCUAAUACUUCAUUUUAUUUGUAACUGAAAUACUGAUUAUGUUUGCAAUGCAGCAUACAGUAUAUUAUACAACAUGAAAUCGAAUUUUUCUUGUUUGUCAAUUGCAAACUUUUGUUUCUGGAUAAAUUCUAAUAGUGUAAGACAAUUGGUACUAUUUUUCAACUUGUGUAAUCUAGAGACCAGGAUUUGUUGUGUUCAGGAGUCAUUUUGAGUAACUUUCUACAUGUGAGUUAAGUUGUAAAAGGUUAUGUCACCUUUC